AUGGCCUCGAAACGGCAACAGGAGUCGGGAGCGGAGAAAAGAAAGAAGAAGAGGAAGCGUGAUGAAACUCAGGCGUCGCUUGCCGGGUCAAUGCUUAAAUAUGUUCAAGGAGGAUCUCAAGGACAGGAUGAACCAUCCAGUAGUAGUGCCAUCCCUGGACAUCAACCACCAGCCAUUGUAGACCCUGCAACAAUCCCUAGCCAAGAAGAACAAGAACCAUCAACCACCAGUUCAGGUACAGUUCCAUACACAAGUACCACUGAGAGUCCUGUCACUGAGAGACUAUCAGAAAGUGACACUGUGGAGACAUGUGUGCCCCCUUCAACCGAUCCUGCUCUUUGGCCAGCUCACAUUGUAGAUGCUGAUCGUGUUGAAAUUGUGCGGAGAGGUCCUUUUAAUGUCAGCUCUGAUUUUAAUUUUCCAAAGGGGCCUGAGUAUUUAUUUGUAACAGUAUUUUUAACCUCCUUUAACCUUAUUUAUUUGUUUAACUGUCAUGUUUGUUGUUAUUUAAUUAAACAAAUUCCACUGAGAAAUUCAAAAGUAUUAAUGUUUUUUUGUUUUUUUUUAAGUGGCGGGGGGGGGGGCACCAUAAAGCAUUUGUGCUUAGGGCACCCAAAUGGCUAGCAACGGCCCUGGUAGUACAACACACAUAGGUUUGGGAUAUAUAUCCUUCCUCCCCUGCGUUCUUUUUCUAUUGAUUUUUUCCCCUUGCAUAAUACAUUUGGACAUCCCUACAACUUGCU
rnacentral:lncRNA from 1 species